GUAACUUCCUAGCUCAGUUGGUUAGAGCGUGGUGCUGAUAAUGCCAAGGUUGCAGGUUCGAUCCCCAGAUGGAACA
rnacentral:tRNA from 1 species